rnacentral:hammerhead_ribozyme from 1 species
AUUCAGCUGACGAGUCCUAAACAGGACGAAAUGCGCGUCCUUGAU